rnacentral:rRNA from 1 species
ACAUGCAAGUCGAACGAACUCUUCGGAGUUAGUGGCGCACGGGUGCGUAACGCGUGGGAAUCUGCCCUUGGGUACGGAAUAACUCAGAGAAAUUUGUGCUAAUACCGUAUAAUGUCUUCGGACCAAAGAUUUAUCGCCCAAGGAUGAGCCCGCGUAAGAUUAGCUAGUUGGUGAGGUAAGAGCUCACCAAGGCGACGAUCUUUAGCUGGUCUGAGAGGAUGAUCAGCCACACUGGGACUGAGACACGGCCCAGACUCCUACGGGAGGCAGCAGUGGGGAAUAUUGGACAAUGGGCGAAAGCCUGAUCCAGCAAUGCCGCGUGAGUGAUGAAGGCCUUAGGGUUGUAAAGCUCUUUUACCCGGGAUGAUAAUGACAGUACCGGGAGAAUAAGCUCCGGCUAACUCCGUGCCAGCAGCCGCGGUAAUACGGAGGGAGCUAGCGUUGUUCGGAAUUACUGGGCGUAAAGCGCGCGUAGGCGGUUUUUUAAGUCAGAGGUGAAAGCCCAGUGCUCAACACUGGAACUGCCUUUGAAACUGGAAAACUUGAAUCAUGGAGAGGUCAGUGGAAUUCCGAGUGUAGAGGUGAAAUUCGUAGAUAUUCGGA